UUGUCAACCACCACUUGUCGUGUGUCUAUCAAAGCAGACUCUUAUUUUGGCCAACCACACCAAAGGCACGGGAGACCACUAUCCGCUCCUUUCCCGCACACCCCUUUGAGGAGGGAAGGAUAGGAGCGACGCGAUGCGUGACGCCCAGGCAGACGUGCCCUCAGCCGAAUGGCUUUGGGCGCAACUUGCGUUCAAAAACUCGAUGGUUCACGGGAUUCUGCAAUUCACACCAAGUAUCGCAUUUUGCUACGUUCUUCAUCGAUGCGUGAGCCGAGAUAUCCGUUGCCGAGAGUCGUUUGUGGUUUACAAAGAAGCCGCAUCCCGUGCACACACCGCGAACGGGUUAGCACGGCAUGACGUCUUCCUGAUGUUUAGUUUUCCUUGGCACAUGCCGUGCCGGGGGUUGUUACGCCUUUUUGACACCUUAGAUGCUCCGAAGAGGCAACCAUGGAUGCAAAUCGACGAGGGGUAGCUGUUGUUACAUGUUCACGGGUCAUUCUGCUUUAUAGGCUUCGACAAUGAUCCUUCCGCAGGUUCACCUACGGAAACC
rnacentral:misc_RNA from 1 species